UAAGAUAAAUUGUGAUGAAUUAAUGUUCUUAUAUGCACUGAAGCAAACGUUCUGGGAGUUUAGUUGGCUGAACCUUGAAAUUAGCAGCUGGACCAAGUGCCAUCGAAACAAGCCGUCAAACAACUUGAAAUUCGAUACCACACAAGCAGGUUUGCUUGGCAAGACUAUAGAAAGCUAAAAAUAAAUUGGUUAUUCAUUAA